UACCAGCUCUCCGAGUGGUAGGGAUGUUUAUUGGGCUUAAAGCGUCCGUAGCCGGCUUAGCAGGUCUCCUGUUAAAUUCAGCGACCUAAUCGUUGAGCCGCGGGAGAUACUACUAGGCUAGGAGGCGGGAGAGGUCAACGGUACUUCCGGGGUAGGGGUGAAAUCCUAUAAUCCCGGGAGGACCGCCAGUGGCGAAGGCUGUUGACUAGAACGCGCUCGACGGUGAGGGACGAAAGCUGGGGGAGCGAACCGGAUUAGAUACCCGGGUAGUCCCAGCUGUAAACGAUGCGGGCUAGGUGUAGGGGCAGCUACGAGCUGCUCCUGUGCCGCAGAGAAAUUGUUAAGCCCGCCGCCUGGGGAGUACGAUCGCAAGAUUGAAACUUAAAGGAUUGGCGGGGGAGCACCACAAGGGGUGAAGGCUGCGGUUU
rnacentral:rRNA from 1 species